UUUCCGUAGGUGAACCUGCGGAAGGAUCAUUAAUGAGAACUAAGGGUAGUAAUCUCGGCUAUUACUCUGAACACUCCACCCUUUGUUUAUAUUACCUUUGUUGCUUUAGCAGGCCCGCUCUCGAGCCGCCGGCACCUGCUGGCUAGUGCUUGCUAAAGAACCUAAAACUCUUGUUAAUAAUAUUGUCUGAGUACUAUAUAAUAGUUAAAACUUUCAACAACGGAUCUCUUGGUUCUG
rnacentral:misc_RNA from 1 species